AUAAUACUCCCUCCGUCCGGAAAUACUUGUCCGGGAAAUGGAUGUGUCUAGAUGUAUUUUAGUUCUAGAUACAUCAAUUUGUAUCAAUUUCUACGACAAGUAUUUCCGGACGGAGGGAGUAGCUA
rfam:Triticum aestivum genome assembly, contig: Triticum_aestivum_CS42_TGACv1_scaffold_094297_2AL